UACGGAGGGGGCUAGCGUUGUUCGGAAUUACUGGGCGCAAAGCGCACGUAGGCGGCUUUGCAAGUUAGAGGUGAAAGCCCAGGGCUUAACCCUGGAAUUGCCUUUAAAACUGCAUCGCUAGAAUUGUGGAGAGGUAAGUGGAAUUCCGAGUGUAGAGGUGAAAUUCGUAGAUAUUCGGAAGAACACCAGUGGCGAAGGCGACUUACUGGACACAUAUUGACGCUGAGGUGCGAAAGCGUGGGGAGCAAACAGG
rnacentral:rRNA from 1 species